ensembl:lncRNA
GGACUCCAGGCUGCAGGAAGCAGCAGGGCAGCUCUGGAAACCGCAGGCAGAGGAAGUGCGGAAACCAGACUUCACUUACCGCAGGAUUUUGCCUAGAGCUGCCCUACAUGAAACAGCCAGAAAUAAUUUCAAGACCACAGAAGUGCUGAGUUUUUAGUGGUGGCAGAUCCCUGCUGACAUCCCACCGGGCGUGUUUGAUGGCUUCCCUCUACUCCACACCAGAUGCCUCUGGAUGAUAUGAGCUCAGAAUGCACUUCUCCCACAAGCUCAAAAGAGGCCACAGCGUGAGCAGGUCCCAUCUGCCAAGGGAUUCCACCGCUUGCAUGGAGGCACCAGCAGCCAUUUCUCUAGUUUACGUUGGUGUGAAGCUUUCCAGCAGAAUAAAAGGGAUUGAACUUGGGUUCUUGCGCUUGCAAGGCAGGCAGCGAAACCACUGAGCUAAAUUCCCAGCGGCAUGAUAUUUUUAAAAAUAUGCCAUGAAGUAAACAGGCCUCCUAUGCCACACAUUCUCACUGUGAUGUACUGUGCCAGUACUGUGAUGUACUUGACCGAAAGCAACAGGGCCAAGCAACCAUGGACUGAAGCCUCUGAAACUAGUAUCGUCCUGCUGACAAUCCUUUCCUAGGACUGCCUGUUGCCACCAGGAAAAAGAUGCCACAGAAAGUUCCCACCGGACGAAACCAGCUGCCCAGAUUUUCUUCUCAGGAAGAUUUGGGAGAAAAUUUCCCAUGAAAAAAUUUGCUAUAUGAUUUUAAUAUUUUUGUUAUUUUCAUUUUAACAAUUAUUGCAGCCAAACUAGCCAGUGACAAAAUAACUGAAAAUGAUUGUGAAUGCAUAAAAUUUAUAUGAAAUGUGAAAGUCUUUGGCCCUACUUUUUGGAAGUUAAAUGUCCCAAUAAGAAGAACCAUAAUUUUAGCAUGGAACAAAAUGUAUGUUUUUGUGUUAAUUAUAUUGAAAACAUGCAUAUUUGAAUCGAUCCUCAGUUUAUCUUGUAUUUUCACACACAAAAGAAGUUAACUCAGAAUUUUUAAGAUUUCACCAAUGGAAUAAAUUUGAAUUCUCUGAACCUGAAAAGAUAGUUUCAAUAUAUAUGAAGAAUUAUAUUUACAUUAAUGUAUAUGUAACGUGGGAGCAAAAGACCACAAAACUUCCACCGUGAAAUAACAAAUGAGAAAACAUUUGUUGAAGUCAGUUUUCCAGUGUGGUUACAGUUAUGAGGUAGAAAUGGAAAGUGUCUUUCUGAAUCUCCUUGCUUUGUAUCCUUUCCCAUUAAAGGGCAAUGAAAACUACUAGGAUUUGUACUUAUUAAAGAUUCCAAAAAUUUAAAACAAAAUGCUUAGUUUCAAAAGCUGAAGUCUGCAGUCACCAGGUCCUUUCGGUGAAAACAGUUGUCUCAUCACUUUACUUCUGGGAGAGCUGCUUGGCACAUAGUGAACAGGAAUGAAAACAUGAGACAGCAGAAAAUCUAAGACAGUGCAGUCUGACAGGCAUCCUUUUGUAAUCAGUAAUGGAAUAGCUGGAACGCUACCUUUAUACGCAGAAGUUUCUG